UGGGUUGUGGCUCAGUGGUAGAGCGCUCACCUAGCAUGUGCAAGGCCCUGGGUUUGAUCCUCAGCACCACAU
rnacentral:tRNA from 1 species